rnacentral:rRNA from 1 species
AUUGAACGCUGGCGGCAUGCUUUACACAUGCAAGUCGAACGACAGCGCGGGGGCAACCCUGGCGGCGAGUGGCGAACGGGUGAGUAAUGCAUCGGAACGUAUCCUGUAAUGGGGGAUAACGUAGCGAAAGUUACGCUAAUACCGCAUACGCUCGAGAGAGGAAAGUGGGGGAUCGCAAGACCUCACGUUAUAGGAGCGGCCGAUGUCCGAUUAGCUAGUUGGUGGGUAAAGGCCUACCAAGGCGACGAUCGGUAGCUGGUCUGAGAGGAUGAUCAGCCACACUGGGACUGAGACACGGCCCAGACUCCUACGGGAGGCAGCAGUGGGGAAUUUUGGACAAUGGGCGAAAGCCUGAUCCAGCCAUGCCGCGUGCGGGAAGAAGGCCUCGGUUGUAA